GAAAUGCGAUAAGUAAUGUGAAUUGCAGAAUUCAGUGAAUCAUCGAAUCUUUGAACGCACAUUGCGCCCGCCAGUAUUCUGGCGGGCAUGCCUGUUCGAGCGUCAUUACAACCCUCAGGCCCCCGGGCCUGGCGUUGGGGAUCGGCGGAAGCCCCCUGCGGGCACAACGCCGUCCCCCAAAUACAGUGGCGGUCCCGCCGCAGCUUCCAUUGCGUAGUAGCUAACACCUCGCAACUGGAGAGCGGCACGGCCACGCCGUAAAACACCCAACUUCUGAAUGUUGACCUCGAAUCAGGUAGGAAUACCCGCUGAACUUAAGC
rnacentral:misc_RNA from 1 species